rnacentral:lncRNA from 1 species
CUUUAGAAAAAUAAGUCAAGCAAAGUUCAAAAGAAAACAUGAAUCUUAUGCUAAUUUUACCUGUAGGACUCAGGGCAGAAGUGGCCAAGCUUUUUGGCAGAAGGCACUGUUGAAAGGUAUUGUGUGGUUGUGGCGGAGACAGUGGGAGGAUGAAGUGAAUCAGAAACUGUUGUUCUGUCUGGGAUGAGGGGAAAAUAUCUGAAACUACUCCUUCAUUGAGCAGAGGGCCAAGGAUAGAACCCCAAAGAACCAAACUAAACUCAAUCAUAGCAAAACAUCCUCUUUCUUUUUGUUUCUGCUGCUACACAGAAGAGAUGAGGUGGGGAUGGUCCAUGAAGAUGAAUGACUGCUUCCUAAGACACUGUGGCGAGGAGGCUGUGGAAAGAUGGCAGCAGCAGACUGUGGAGAGAAGUCAAUUCACUUUGAUUCACUGCCUCUCCUACUAUUUACAACAAAGUUCUUAAAAAGUGUGCGUUGAUGAGCAAGUAUAUCCUGCUUAGACAUAAAAUGACCUGGAAAUGGAAAUUUACUGUAGGAGUGCUGAAGCAUGACUGCAACAGACUUGCAGUUGUGCAGGAGAUCCAUUCAGCCGCACAGAGAUGACCGGAAAAAUGGCUGGCGCAGGGGAGUCCCGGGAUCUGUGCCAAAUGCGAGGCUGCCCUUGCCACUAAGGACUUCUAACAUUGCAACUAUCAAGAUGAUGAUGAACUCAUCAACAGAUGGAGAGAGACUGCUGUAUUUUGAAGGACUCUGGAUAAUAAAUAGACCAUUUGACCAUAAUGCUGUGAAAAAGCCCAACCUAAUCUACUCAAUAUGAAAGUCUCUGCAGAAAGAAGAAUGGAGGUACUCUGGUGACAGCUAGUACCAUGUUCCAAAGGCCAUCUUCAGCCUGCAGAUUCAGGGAAGACAUCAGAUGAUGGUAGCCACAUGAGUGAGUUCAGACAAGAACAGCAGAAGAAAGUUCUAACCAACUCACAGAAUUUUAGAAAAUAGAUUGGCAUUUUAAGCCAUCAAGUUUUACAGUAGUUGUUAUGCGACCAUAGAUAACUGAAAAUAUACAUGCAAAUAUAAUUUAUUUAUCCAUUUACUACAUUUGGGCUGUUUCCAGUUCUGGGCUAUUACAAAUAGUUCUACUAUCAUCUUUAGGACACAUAUGUGUGCAUUUCUGUUAGAUAUAUAUCUAGAAGAGGAAUUGCAAGGUCAGUAUUAAUAAAUAUUGGUAAAGGGUUAUAUUUCCAUAGGUAAUAUAAUAGAGACUAGUUGCUCCACGCCCUUCCUAAUCCUUGGUAAUGUCUGUUAUUUUCAUUUGAAUCAUUCUGGCAUGUCGGUACUAUUAUCUCAGUGUAGAUUUGACUUACCAUAUUUUCAUUUUUGUGUAAAGGUACCUUAAAAAUGAACGUAAAUAUGCAGAGAUCCCAAAAUACUUCACCCAUAUGUUUUCUCUAAGAAGCUUACCUGAAGAAGGAAUCAUUCAUGCAUGUGUGCAGACACCUACAAACACACAUGCACACAUACAAAGCAAUAUUCUGUUUUGUUUAAUGAUCCACACAUUGUAUUCACUUUUGCUCAAUAUUGAUAUUUCUCUGUUCUCUUUUUAUUUGUAUAUUUCUGGUUGUCCUUUGUCUACCCUUUUAUUUUCAACCUAUGAAUUACAUUGUUUUAGAUGUCAUCUCGUAUGCAGUAUAUGAAUAUGAGAGCAUUAUUUAUCAAAACUUAUGGGAUUUUAGGAAAGAUAUACUCAGAGGACAUAUUUAUAACUUUAGGUACUUUCAAUAUAUAAAAAAGAAAUAAAAACAAUAAAUGAAGCACUCCUUUGAGAGGUUAUAAAAAGAACAAAAUAAAUCUAAGAAAGCAGAAGUAAACAGUCAAAGAUAAAUGCAGAAGUCAAUGAAUUAAACUAAGGAAAGUAGGAGAAAGUAUUAAGUUAAAAGAGAAUUGACUUUUCAGGGAAAUCCAAAUUAAAACAAUGAGGUACCAUCUCAUGCCUGUUAGAAUGACUAUUAUCAAAAAGUCACAAGAUAAUAAGUGUUUCCCAAGAUGUGGAGAAAACAGAACUCUUGCACACGGUUUAAGGGGAUGUAAAUUGGUACAGCCAGCAUGGAAAAGAAUAUAGAGUUUCCUCAAAAAAGUAAUAAUAGGACUACCAUAUGAUCCAGCAACCCCACUUUUGGGUAUAUAUCCAAAGGAAAUGAAAUAAGUGUGUUGAAAAUUAUCCAUAAUCUCAUAUUCAUUGCAGCAUUAUUCACAAGAGCCAAGAUAUAGAAUCGACCUAAGCAUCCAUCAGCGAAUGACUAGAUAAAGAACAUGUAUAGAUACACAUUGAAAUACUAUACUGCUUACAAAGAAAGAAAUCCUGUCAUUGACGACAACAUAAAUGAACCUGGAGGACACUAUGUUAAGUGAAAUAAGUCACACAGAGAAAGACAGAUUCUGCAUGAUCUUACUUAUAUGUGGAAUCUAAUAAAGUUGAUCUCAUAGAAGUAGAAAAUAGAAUGGUGGUUGCCAGCGGUUGGCUGAUAGAACGAAGAGGAAUGGGGGAAAUGUUGGUCAAAAGAUACAAAAUUUUAGUUAGAGAAGAGGAAAAAGUUCAAAAGAUCUAUUGCACAACAUGGUGACUAUAACAAUAUAUUCUUGAAAAUUGUUACAAGUAGAUUUUAAAUGUUCUUGCCACAAAAAUAACUAUGUGAGGUAAUGCAGAUGUUAGAUGAAGAAUAGCUCAAUUAAGCUACUUCAUAAUGUUUAUAUAUUUCAAAACAUUAUGUUGUACAUGAUAAAUGUGCAAAAUUGUAUUUGUCAAUUUAAAAUAAAAUGUUUAAAAAGAAAUUUAUGAAGGAGGGUUGUUAAACAAAAAAGGUAGAUUGAUAAAAAGUAAAAUUCUAGUUACAGAUUUGGUCUAAAAAACUUAAAAUUAUAAAUAAGCAAUUAGCUAGAUUAAACAACAGUAGAAGAAAAAAAGUCCCAUAAUUAGACAAACGUAGCAAUAAGUAAAAACAAAGUAACCAUAGAUAAUGAGGAAAUUAGGUAUAUAAGAUUAAUUUUUCAAUAGUAUAACUUUGAAUAUAUUAGUGAAAUAUACAAAGAAAUGAAAAAAUAAAAAUAGCAAGAUUGGCUCAAGAAAAGAUAGAAAUGACAAAUAUAUUAAUAAAUAUAAACAAUUGGGAAAAUUGUCCAAAACUGUACCUUAGAAACUCUGGACUGAGAUAAUUUUAUGAAUGAUCCAUUUUAAAUUUUUAAUAAGAAAUAACUCAGAUAUUAUUUAAACGUUUUGAAAGCAUCGAAGAAUAAGAAAACCUUCUGACCUGUUUUGAAAAACCAUCUUAAUAUUGCUACUUAUGCUUGAAUGUGAUCAUGCAAAAAAGAAAGCUACUGCCCAAUUUCAAUCUCACAUGGCAAUAUUGUUGUAAAAAAAUUUGUUAUAAAAAAUUUUAGGAUAUUAUCAAACAAAAUGCAUAUUAGAAUAUAUACUAGUAUAUAUUCUAAUAUAAAUAUUUUAUAUUAGUAUUAACAAUAGACCCCUAGUGGUAUUUUCUUUAAAAUCAGGGAAAAGACAAGAAGGAAUUCAGUGUACUAAUACUAAACAGCCUAAAUCCUCAGGGCAUAAAGAUCUAGAAGGAGCACAAUAUCCAUAUUUAGAGAAGGGAAAGAGAGACCUUGGGAGCUAUUUGGGGCCAGAUGAGCAUUUAGGAACAGUUUUUGAAAAGUGACUAGGCAAAAAUUUGCCCAGGACCCUUUCAAACUCAGCAAUCCCUUGUAAUCCAGAAUGAUUAAAGGUGCUGCAUCUCUUUGAUUUCCAACAGGUAACUCUCUAAAUUCCUUAGCUCACAAUAAUCACAGCCUGAAACUCCACUACCUAGAGAUCUUUUGAAGUUAAGCAUUUAUGCAUAUACCUUGGUGGUGCAAGGUGACUCUUUUACUAGAUUAUCAUAUCACUGACACAUUAAGGGGGGACAAUAGUAGCUAGUGUUUACUGAGUGCUUAACUAUGUGCCAGGCACUGUUCUAAUAUCUCAUAUGUAUGAUCCCAUUUAAUCCUCACAAUAACCAUAUUACAUAUGUGGAAACAGGUAUAGCAGUGUGACACAACUUACCCAACAUCACAAGCUAGUAAGUGGUAGAGCUGAGAUUAAAAUCCAGCAGCUAAGUGCAAGAGCUGCUGCUCUGGACUACUAUGCCACAUUAUCCUGUUCUCAGAGUGCAGAAGUCCUGUGUAGGGGGCUUUCCAACAUUCCAACUACAUUUAUUCAAAAAACAUUUACUGAGAGCUACCUGCUUGCAAAGCACCAUGAAGCCUCUGUAGUUGAUAAACACAUAAACAUGACACUUUUCUUGACCUUGGGAAACUUAUUCUCCAUUAAAGGAGAUGAAUAUGGGAAUAACAAAUGACCCUUCAAGGCUGGAUAUAGGGUACUUGGUUGUGGUUGUGGGUGGGUCAGGGCUCUUCAGCUUACAUUUUGUGGCAGAGAAUCUUCUUUGGAGAAUCCAUGCUUUUGGGAUUCCUCAUUUUACCUAUUAGAGCACAAAUCUAUGCUUAUUUUCUCUGUUGUGUAUGGUGAGUUCUGUACUUUUGUUUUGAACAUAUGUCAUGAAAAGACAAAGAUUUUUUUCCCAGGUAUUUUAUUACUCAAGUUUCAAAAACAUUACAGAAAAUAAACAAUAAAGAAAUAUGACUAAGUAACACAGGACUUCCAAACUUUUCCCUCUUAGGGAAUGAAAUAAAUAAUAUCAUCCUAAAGAUAAAGACCUUAAUUUAUUCUCUAACUUGGAUAACCCACUGGGAAAAACCUUGAUAUUCAUAGAUAGAAGGGUGAGAGAAACCAGUCCUGCUAGAACUGCUCUUUCAGUUGUCAGCACAUUUUAAUGAAGUGCCAGUCUUUUCAUGCCAAAUUCUGAAGGAAAUCUCUGGGUACCAAAUGAUGAAAUGAUUUCAUUCCCAAAUGGCAUCUAAAGUAAAAUAAAUCCUCUCGCAUUUUGCAGAGCACGGCACUCUACAAGUUCAAAAGGUAAAACAUACUUGCAGUAUGUAUAAACUGUGGAGUACAUUUGAAAAUAAAAUUUUUAAUUAUGUUGGACAUUUCAGGCCCAGCGCUGUCAUCCUGAAGAAAAGUAACAUCUGUUUUGACAUCUCCAGUGGUAGAGACUUUAAAUCAGUUUCCACAUUGCUUAUCUGCUGGCUAAUCAGAAUGGAUGCAGUAUUCUUACCAACUCAUUGACAGGGAAAAAAGAAAAGAUAUGCAGAGAAAUAGGGUAAACUAAAACUGAUAUGAUGAAUUUAAAUGAAAAAUGUAAUGGCCUUUGCAUAUAUUAUAUCUAAACUUUCAUUCAAUGUAAAAUUUGAUAAUUUCAUUUAAUUCCUAACUGUACAGAGAUUUAUUUUUCUUUCCUCUUCCUGAUGUAUACCUUUGCUUCCACUUAAAUAUAAUAAAACAUUAAAGCAUAUUUUACUUCUCAAACUAUUUAGUUUCAUCUUAAACUCAAGGUUUGAAUUGGAGAAAAUUGAUUUGUUAUUUUCAAUAAGAUGUGCUAUAAAAAUGCAGGAUUUCAAACUGCAGGAAUUGUAACUUCCAUGUCUUCCGUGUUUUUGAAACUUUCUUAAAGCUAUACCAACUUAGUUUUAGGUAUCUCUUAUAAAGAAAAAAAAAAUAUUUCCACUUGAAUAAGUCAGGACUUCCCUCAAAACUUUACCUGGAUUAUUUGGGUAGUAAGUGGGUUACCUCUGUUCUCUUUCUUUCUUUUUGUAUAUGUAGGCAUAAACUUCAUAUUGCUACUUAAGCACUGACCUAUUCAUUGUAAACUGGUUGAGUUACAAAAAAUUACAUAUAAAGUUUUCAGUCCAGUGGACCAACUCAGUUAAGCCAUUUUGUUAGUAUAGAUGUUAGUAUAUAUGCAGCCUGAGUUAAUAGAGAAGCUGGGAGAAGCUUACAGUGGUCUUUAUUGUUAAAUAUAUGGGAGGACAAUCCUUCAACCAGAUUAAUACUAUGAAGGACUUGUGUGUUCUUCAAAGAAAAUGGCAGAAUUUAAACAAAGGAACCUAAAAGUGAUCUUUCAUGCGCAUCCGUGUGAAGAGACCACCAAACAGGCUUUGUGUGAGCAACAUGGCUGUUUAUUUCACCUGGGUGCAGGCGGGCUGAGUCCAAAAAGAGAGUCAGCGAAGGGAGAUAGGGGUGGGGCCAUUUUAUAGGAUUUGGGAAGGUAAUGGAAAAUUACAGUCAAAGGGGCUUGUUCUCUGGUGGGCAGGGGUGGAGCUCACAAAGUACAUUCUCAAGGGUGGGGAGAAUUAUAAAGAACCUUCUUAAGGGUGGGGGAGACUACAAAGUAACUUCUUAAGGGUGGGGGAGAUUACAAAGUACAUUGAUCAGUUAGGGUGGGGUAGGAACAAAUCACAAUGGUGGAAUGUCAUCAGUUAAGGCUGUUUUUACUUCUUUUGUGGAUCUUCAGUUACUUCAGGCCAUCUGGAUGUAUACAUGCAAGUCACAGGGGAUGCGAUGGCCUGGCCUGGGCUCAGAGGCCUGACAUUCCUGCCUUCUUAUAUUAAUAAGACAAAUAAAACAAAAUAGUGUUGAAGUGUUGGAGCGGCGAAAAUUUUUGGGGGGUGGUAUGGAGAGAGAAUGGGCGAUGUUUCUCAGGGCUGCUUCAAGCGGGAUUAGGGGCGGCGUGGGAACCUAAAGUGGGAGAGAUUAAGCUGAAGGAAGAUUUUGUGGUAAGGGGUGAUAUUGUGGGGUUGUUAGAAGAAACAUUUGUUGUGUAGAAUUAUUGGUGAUGGCCUGGAUACGGUUUUGUAUGAAUUGAAAAACUAAAUGGAAUAAGAGAAGGAGAAAAACAGGUAUAAAAGGUCUAAGAAUUGGGAUGACUCAGGACAUCUGAUUAGAGAGUGCCUAAGGAGAUUCAGCAUAGCCCUGCCAGCAAUGAUUAUUUAUUUACUUCAGGAGUUAAGAAUGGCAGUUUGAGGAUAGCACGAGGCAAGCGUGAUCAGGGUGAGGAACAGGAAAGAAAGAAAUAUGGGGAAAUGGGGUGAAUAUCAGGUGGAUCAGAGAGAUACAGUCAUGGGGGUCAGGUGUGGUAUCAGGAAUAAUGUGGGAGGCCAGAUUGAAGUCCGGGCCAGGAACAAUGGUAAUUGUGGGACUUAAAGAGUGAGUACAGCUGAAGAAGCUGGGGAGCAUAAAGUAUAUGCAUCAGGUAUGAGGAAGAAAAUAGAUUUUGGAAGUUAUGAGAAAUGUAGAGAGUGAGUUGAGCAUAGUUUGUGAUUUUUAGGGCCUCUAACAGUAUUAAAGCAGCGGCAGCCACUGCACGCAGACAUGAGGGCUAGGCUAAAACAGUAAGGUCAAGUUGUUUGGACAGAAAGGCUACACGGUGUGGUCCUGGCUCUUGUGUAAGAAUUCUGACCACACUAACCAUGCCUAGGAAGGAAAGGAGUUGUUCUUUUGUAAGGGAUUGAGGUUUGGGAGAUUAAUCAGACACGAUCAGCAGGGAGAGCAUGUGUGUUUUUAUGCGAAUUAUGCCGAGAUAGGUAACAGAUGAGGAUGAAAUUUGGGCUUGACUGAAGUAAUGGGAGCUGUCUGUGAAGACUUGUGGCAGUACAGCCCAGGUAAUUUGCUGAGCCUAAUGGGUGUCAGGGUCAGUCUAAGUGAAGGCAAAGAGAGGCUGGGAUGAAGGGUGCAAAGGAAUAGUAAAGAAAGCAUGUUUGAGAUCCAGAACAGAAUAAUGGGUAGUAGAGGGAGGUAUUGAGGAUAGGAGAGUAUAUGGGUUUGGCACCACGGGGUGGAUAGGCAAAACAAUUUGGUUGAUAAGGCGCAGAUUCUGAACUAACUUGUAAGCCUUGUCUGGUUUUAGGACAGGUAAAAUGGGGGAAUGGUAAGGAGAGUUUAUAGGUUUUAGAAGCCCGUGCUGUAGCAGGCGAGUGAUCACAGGCUUUAAUCCUUUUAAAGCGUGCUGUGGGAUAGGAUAUUGGCGUUGAGCGGGGUAAGGGUGAUUAGGUUUUAAUGAGAUGGUAAGGGGUGCAUGAUCAGUCGCCAAGGAGGGAGUAGAGGUCUCUUAUACUUGUGGGUUAAGGUGGGGGAAUACAAGAGGAGGACGCAAAGGAGGCUUUGGAUUGGGAGGAAGGGCAGCAAUGAGAUGCAGCUGUAGUCCAGGAAUAGUCAGGGAAGCAGAUAAUUUGGUUAAAAUAUCUCGGCCUAAUAAGGGAACUGGGCAGGUGGGGAUAACUAAAAAAGAGUGCAUAAAAGAGUAUUGUCUAAGUUGGCACCAGAGUUGGGGAGUUUUAAGAGGUUUAGAAGCCUGGCUGUCAAUACCCACAACAGUUAUGGAGGCAAGGGAAACAGGCCCUUGAAAAGAAGGUAAUAUGGAGUGGGUAGACUCCGUAUUGAUUAAGAAGGGGACGGGCUCACCUUCCACUGUGAGAGUUACCGGAAGCUCGGCGUCCGUGAUGGUCUACGGCGCUUCCAAGGCGAUCGGGCAGCAUCAGUCUUCAGCCGCUAAGCCGAGAAGGAGUCAGUCAGAGAACAUUGGGCCAGAGUUCCAGGGGCUCUGGGAGUGGCUGCCAGGUGAGUUGAACAGUCCAAUUUCCAGUGGGGUCCCGCACAGAUGGGACACAGCUUAGGAGGAAUCCUGGGCUGCAGGCAUUCCUUGGACUGGUGGUCAGAUUUCUGGCACUUGUAGCAAGCUCCUGGGGGAGGAGGUUCUGGAGGAACGCCUGGCCGCUGCGGUUCAGGCGUUUGGAAGUUCUUGUGUGCUGGAGAUGUGGCUGGGGUUUGUCUCACAGUGGAGGCAAGGAAUUGCAACUUUUUUCUAUUAUUGUACACCUUGAAGGAGAGGUUAAUUAAAUCCUGUUGUGGGGUUUGAGGGCCGGAAUUUAAUUUUUGGAGUUUUAUUUAAUGUCGGGAGCAGAUUGGGUAAUAAAAUGUAUAUUGAGAAUAAGAUGGCCUUUUGACCUUUUAGGGUCUAGGGGUGUAAAGCCUCUCAGGGUUGCUGCCGAACAAGCCAUGAACUGGGCUGGGUUUUUAUAUUUGAUGAAAAAGAGCCUAAACGCUAUCCAAUUUGGGAUAAAGAAAAAGGAGCAUUAACCUUGACUAUGCCUUUGGCUCCAGCCACCUUUUUAAGAGUAAAUUGCUGGGCAGGUUGGGGAGGGCUAGUCACGGAACGAAACUGUAAGCCUGACCAGGUGUGAGGAGGGGAGGCAAUAAAAAGAUUAUAGGGUGGAGGAGCGGAGGCUGAGGAAGCAUUGGGACCUAGCUCGGCCUGGCAAGGAGGGGAGAGGUCAGAUGGGUCUGUAGAAAAGGAAGAUUAGAAAGACUCAGCGACGCUUGGGGUUGGGACUGAGGGGACAGGCAGGAGGGAAAGAAGGAAGAUUUGGGAGGAGUUGCACUGGGCACAGAGACUAGGAAGGGACUGAUGUGUAAAAGAAUGCCUGGAUGUCAGGCACCUCAGACCGUUUGCCUAUUUUACGACAAGAAUUAUUUAGAUCUUGCAGGAUGGAAAAAUUCAAAGUGCCAUUUUCUGGCUAUUUGGAACUACUGUUGAGUUUGUAUUGGGGUCAAGUGGCAUUGCAGAAGAAAAUAAGGCAUUUAGGUUUUAGGUCAGUUGUGAGUUGAAGAGGUUUUAAGUUCUUGAGCCACAGGCUAAGGGAGAAGAAGGAGGAAUGGAGGUUGGAAGGUUGCCCAUAGUGAAGGAAGCAAACCCAGAGAAAAGAGAGUGUAGAGACACGGAGGGAAGGGGUUUGGGGGUUCUUGCCCCCUAGAAAAGAGGGACUUGCCACUAAGGGUGAAGGAGAAGGGGUUGAGGGGUACUUGCCCCUGCCCCAGGAAAGCGGGACUUGCCGCUAAGGGUGAAGGAGAAGGGGUUGAGGGGUACUUGCCCCUGCCCCAGGAAAGCAGAGAAGGGGUAGAGACAAGGAGAGAAGGGGUUGGGGUACUUGCCCCUUCCCUGGAAAAGCAGAGAAGGGGUAGAGACAAGGAGAGAAGGGGUUGGGGUACUUGCCCCUUCCCCAGAAAAGCGGGACUUGCCGCUAAGGGUGAAGGACCAAGGCAGGCGUCCCUGCAUGGUCUGACACCCUUGAAACGUGGGUGUAUAAUCAGAGAGGUGUCCCUGCAAUGAUUAAACACCAAGGGAAGGCUGCCUUCCCAGUCAGUGACCGGCGCCGGAGUUUUGGGUCCACGGAUAAAACGUGUCUCUUUUGUCUCUACCAGAAAAUGAAAGGAAUUGAAAUUAAGAGAAGGGAGAGAUUGAAGUGUAGCACCAAGAUUGAAAGGAGAAAGAGGUUGAGAGAUAGUGAGGGAAGUUGGAGAAGAGAGUAAAAAGAGGCCGCUUACCGGAUUUGAAAUUGGUGAGAUGUUUCUUGGGCUGGUUGGUCUGAGGACCUGAGGUUGUAGGUGGAUCUUUCUCACGGAGCAAAGAGCAGGAGGACGGGGAUUGAUCUCCCAAGGGAGGUCCCCCGAUCCUGGGUUUCGGCACCAAAUUUCAUGCGUGUACAUGUGAAGAGACCACCAAACAGGCUUUGUGUGAGCAACAUGGCUGUUUAUUUCACCUGGGUGCAGGCGGGCUGAGUCUGAAAAGAGAGUCAGCGAAGGGAGAUGGGGUGGGGCCAUUUUAUAGGAUUUGGGAAGGUAAUGGAAAAUUACAGUCAAAGGGGCUUGUUCUCUGGUGGGCAGGGGUGGAGCUCACAAAGUACAUUCUCAAGGGUGGGGA